rnacentral:rRNA from 1 species
ACUCAAAGGAAUUGACGGGGGCCCGCACAAGCGGCGGAGCAUGUGGCUUAAUUCGAUGCAACGCGAAGAACCUUACCUAGGCUUGACAUGCAAGGAAAUCUGUUAGAGAUAGCAGGUCCGCAAGGGUCUUGCACAGGUGGUGCAUGGCUGUCGUCAGCUCGUGUCGUGAGAUGUUGGGUUAAGUCCCGCAACGAGCGCAACCCUCGUCCUAUGUUGCCAGCGAGUAAUGUCGGGGACUCAUAGGAGACCGCCGGGGUCAACUCGGAGGAAGGUGGGGAUGACGUCAAGUCAUCAUGCCCCUUAUGUCUAGGGCUGCACACAUGCUACAAUGGCCGGUACAAAGGGCUGCGAUACCGCAAGGUGGAGCGAAUCCCAUAAAGCCGGUCUCAGUUCGGAUUGGGGUCUGCAACUCGACCCCAUGAAGUCGGAGUCGCUAGUAAUCGCAGAUCAGCAACGCUGCGGUGAAUACGUUCCCGGGCCUUGUACACACCGCCCGU